rnacentral:tRNA from 1 species
UGGAAUGGCUCAGUGGUUAGAGCGUAGGUCUCGUAACCGAAAGGAUGCGGGAUCGAAUCCCGCUAG